rnacentral:rRNA from 1 species
UUCUAAAACUUUCAACAACGGAUCUCUUGGUUCUGGCAUCGAUGAAGAACGCAGCGAAAUGCGAUAAGUAAUGUGAAUUGCAGAAUUCAGUGAAUCAUCGAAUCUUUGAACGCACAUUGCGCCCCUUGGUAUUCCGAGGGGCAUGCCUGUUCGAGCGU